rnacentral:rRNA from 1 species
GCGAAUGGCUCAUUAAAUCAGUUAUCGUUUAUUUGAUAGUACCUUACUACUUGGAUAACCGUGGUAAUUCUAGAGCUAAUACAUGCUGAAAACCCCGACUUCGGGAGGGGUGUAUUUAUUAGAUAAAAAACCAACGCCCUUCGGGGCUUCUUGGUGAUUCAUGAUAACUUAACGAAUCGCAUGGCCUUGCGCCGGCGAUGGUUCAUUCAAAUUUCUGCCCUAUCAACUUUCGAUGGUAGGAUAGUGGCCUACCAUGGUAUCAACGGGUAACGGGGAAUUAGGGUUCUAUUCCGGAGAGGGAGCCUGAGAAACGGCUACCACAUCCAAGGAAGGCAGCAGGCGCGCAAAUUACCCAAUCCCGACACGGGGAGGUAGUGACAAUAAAUACUGAUACAGGGCUCUUUUGGGUCUUGUAAUUGGAAUGAGUACAAUUUAAAUCCCUUAACGAGGAACAAUUGGAGGGCAAGUCUGGUGCCAGCAGCCGCGGUAAUUCCAGCUCCAAUAGCGUAUAUUAAAGUUGUUGCAGUUAAAAAGCUCGUAGUUGAACCUUGGGCCUGGCUGGCCGGUCCGCCUCACCGCGUGCACUGGUCCGGCCGGGCCUUUCCUUCUGGGGAGCCGCAUGCCCUUCACUGGGUGUGUCGGGGAACCAGGACUUUUACUUUGAAAAAAUUAGAGUGUUCAAAGCAGGCCUUUGCUCGGAUACAUUAGCAUGGAAUAAUAGAAUAGGACGUGCGGUUCUAUUUUGUUGGUUUCUAGGACCGCCGUAAUGAUUAAUAGGGAUAGUCGGGGGCAUCAGUAUUCAAUUGUCAGAGGUGAAAUUCUUGGAUUUAUUGAAGACUAACUACUGCGAAAGCAUUUGCCAAGGAUGUUUUCAUUAAUCAGUGAACGAAAGUUAGGGGAUCGAAGACGAUCAGAUACCGUCGUAGUCUUAACCGUAAACUAUGCCGACUAGGGAUCGGGCGAUGUUAUCAUUUUGACUCGCUCGGCACCUUACGAGAAAUCAAAGUCUU